GAGCCUCGCGCGAUUGGAGCGGCCGAUAUCAGAUUAGGUAGUUGGUGGGGUAAAGGCCUACCAAGGCUACGAUCUGUAGCGGGUCUGAGAGGAUGAUCCGCCACACUGGAACUGAGACACGGUCCAGACUCCUACGGGAGGCAGCAGUGGGGAAUUUUGGACAAUGGGGGCAACCCUGAUCCAGCCAUGCCGCGUGAGUGAAGAAGGCCUUCGGGUUGUAAAGCUCUUUCGGCCGGGAAGAAAUCGCAUAGGCUAAUACCCUGUGUGGAUGACGGUACCGGAAUAAGAAGCACCGGCUAACUACGUG
rnacentral:rRNA from 1 species